rnacentral:rRNA from 1 species
GCUAAGGCCGGGCCAGCGUGCGCGGUAAUAGGGAGGGGGCAAGGGGUAAUCGGAAUUACGGGGCGUAAAGCGCACGCAGGGGGUUGGAUAAGUUAGAUGUGAAAGCCCCGGGCUCAACCUGGGAAUUGCAUUUAAAACUGUCCAGCUAGAGUCUUGUAGAGGGGGGUAGAAUUCCAGGUGUAGCGGUGAAAUGCGUAGAGAUCUGGAGGAAUACCGGUGGCGAAGGCGGCCCCCUGGACAAAGACUGACGCUCAGGUGCGAAAGCGUGGGGAGCAAACAGGAUUAGAUACCCCAGUAGUC